UGGGGAAUAUUGCGCAAUGGGCGAAAGCCUGACGCAGCCACGCCGCGUGUGUGAUGAAGGCCUUCGGGUUGUAAAGCACUGUCGGGAGGGACGAAAAAUGACGGUACCUCGCAAGAAAGCACCGGCUAAAUCCGUGCCAGCAGCCGCGGUAAUACGGAUGGUGCAAGCGUUGCUCGGAAUCACUGGGCGUAAAGCGAACGCAGGCGGACUUUUAAGUUGGGUGUGAAAGCCCCGGGCUCAACCCGGGAACUGCACUCAAAACUGGAAGUCUUGAGUCCGAGAGAGGGUGGUGGAAUUCCUGGUGUAGAGGUGAAAUUCGUUGAUAUCAGGAGGAACACCGGUGGCGAAGGCGGCCACCUGGCUCGGUACUGACGCUCAUGUUCGAAAGCGUGGGGAGCAAACAGG
rnacentral:rRNA from 1 species